rnacentral:rRNA from 1 species
CAGUAGCCGCGGUAAUACGAAGGGGGCUAGCGUUGUUCGGAAUUACUGGGCGUAAAGGGCGCGUAGGCGGCCAUUCAAGUUAGAUGUGAAAGCCCUGGGCUCAACCUAGGAAUUGCAUUUGAUACUGCUUGGCUUGAGUUCGGGAGAGGUGAGUGGAAUUCCCAAUGUAGAGGUGAAAUUCGUAGAUAUUGGGAAGAACACCAGUGGCGAAGGCGGCUCACUGGACCGACACUGACGCUGAGGCGCGAAAGCGUGGGGAGCAAACAGGAUUAGAUACCCCCGUAGUCCCUGUCUCUUAUAC